GACGAACGCUGGCGGCGUGCUUAACACAUGCAAGUCGAGCGGUAAGGCCCUUUCGGGGGUACGACGAGCGGCGAACGGGUGAGUAACACGUGGGUGACCUGCCCUCAGCUCUGGGAUAAGCCUGGGAAACCGGGUCUAAUACCGGAUAUGACUCCAUGACGCAUGUUGUGGGGUGGAAAGCCUUGUGCGGCUGAGGAUGGGCCCGCGGCCUAUCAGCUUGUUGGUGGGGUGANGGCCUACCAAGGCGACGACGGGUAGCCGGCCUGAGAGGGCGACCGGCCACACUGGGACUGAGACACGGCCCAGACUCCUACGGGAGGCAGCAGUGGGGAAUCUUGCGCAAUGGGCGAAAGCCUGACGCAGCGACGCCGCGUGAGGGAUGACGGCCUGUGUAACU
rnacentral:rRNA from 1 species